rnacentral:rRNA from 1 species
CCUACGGGAGGCAGCAGUGGGGAAUAUUGCACAAUGGGCGAAAGCCUGAUGCAGCAACGCCGCGUGAAGGAUGACGGCUUUCGGAUUGUAAACUUCUGUUCUUAGUGAAGUAUAAUGACGGUAACUAAGGAGCAAGCCACGGCUAUCUACGUGCCAGCAGCCGCGGUCAUACGUAGGUGGCAAGCGUUGUCCGGAAUUACUGGGUGUAAAGGGAGCGUAGGCGGGUAGCCAAGUCAGCUGUGAAAACUACGGGCUUAACCUGUAGACUGCAGUUGAAACUGGCUUUCUUGAGUGAAGUAGAGGUUGGCGGAAUUCCGAGUGUAGCGGUGAAAUGCGUAGAUAUUCGGAGGAACACCGGUGGCGAAGGCGGCCAACUGGGCUUUAACUGACGCUGAGGCUCGAAAGUGUGGGGAGCAAACAGGAUUAGAUACCCUAGUAGUC